rnacentral:rRNA from 1 species
UACGUAGGUGGCAAGCGUUGUCCGGAUUUAUUGGGUUUAAAGGGUGCGUAGGCGGUCAAACAAGUCAGUUGUGAAAUACGGCAGCUCAACUGUCGAGGUGCAAUUGAUACUGUUUGACUUGAGUAUUGUUGAGGUAGGCGGAAUGGACGGUGUAGCGGUGAAAUGCUUAGAGAUCGUCCAGAACACCGAUAGCGAAGGCAGCUUACUAAAGAAUAACUGACGCUGAGGCACGAAAGUGUGGGGAUCAAACAGG